rnacentral:rRNA from 1 species
UACGUAGGGUGCAAGCGUUAAUCGGAAUUACUGGGCGUAAAGCGUGCGCAGGCGGUCUUGUAAGACAGAUGUGAAAUCCCCGGGCUCAACCUGGGAACUGCAUUUGUGACUGCAAGGCUGGAGUACGGCAGAGGGGGAUGGAAUUCCGCGUGUAGCAGUGAAAUGCGUAGAUAUGCGGAGGAACACCGAUGGCGAAGGCAAUCCCCUGGGCCUGUACUGACGCUCAUGCACGAAAGCGUGGGGAGCAAACAGG